UGGGGGGCCUACGGGAGGCAGCAGUAGGGAAUCUUCCGCAAUGGACGAAAGUCUGACGGAGCAACGCCGCGUGAGUGAAGAAGGUUUUCGGAUCGUAAAACUCUGUUGUCAGGGAAGAACAAGUGCCGGAGUAACUGCCGGCACCUUGACGGUACCUGGCCAGAAAGCCACGGCUAACUACGUGCCAGCAGCCGCGGUAAUACGUAGGUGGCAAGCGUUGUCCGGAAUUAUUGGGCGUAAAGCGCGCGCAGGCGGUCUUUUAAGUCUGAUGUGAAAGCCCACGGCUCAACCGUGGAGGGUCAUUGGAAACUGGAAGACUUGAGUGCAGAAGAGAAGAGCGGAAUUCCACGUGUAGCGGUGAAAUGCGUAGAGAUGUGGAGGAACACCAGUGGCGAAGGCGGCUCUUUGGUCUGUAACUGACGCUGAGGCGCGAAAGCGUGGGGAGCGAACAGGAUUAGAUACCCUGGUAGUCCACGCCGUAAACGAUGAGUGCUAAGUGUUGGGGGGUUUCCGCCCCUCAGUGCUGCAGCUAACGCAUAAGCACUCACGCGCU
rnacentral:rRNA from 1 species